rnacentral:tRNA from 5 species
CGGAGCGUAGCGCAGCCCGGUUAGCGCACUAGUCUGGGAGACUAGGGGUCGGAGGUUCGAAUCCUCUCGCUCCGA